rnacentral:rRNA from 1 species
AGCUCCAAUAGCGUAUAUUAAAGUUGUUGCAGUUAAAAAGCUCGUAGUUGAACUUCUGGCGGUCGUCUUCGCUGGCUCUCGCCGCGUUGAUGGCUGUCAUCCGCUUGGGAACCUCGUUCGGUCUUCAUUGGUCGGCGGGAGGAUCAGGCAUUUUACUUUGAAAAAAUUAGAGUGUUCAAGGCAGGCAAUCGCCAUGAAUACACAAGCAUGGAAUAAUGGAAUAGGACUACAAGUCAUUUUAUUGGUUAUUGACUGGUAGUAAUGAUUAAUAGGGACAGUUGGGGGCAUUAGUAUUUAAUUGUCAGAGGUGAAAUUCUUGGAUUUAUUAAAGACUAACUUAUGCGAAAGCAUUUGCCAAGGAUGUUUUCAUUA